UACGUAGGGGGCAAGCGUUGUCCGGAAUCAUUGGGCGUAAAGCGCGUGUAGGCGGUUCGAUAAGUCUGCUGUGAAAGUCCAGGGCUCAACCCUGGGAUGCCGGUGGAUACUGUCGGGCUAGAGUACGGAAGAGGCGAGUGGAAUUCCCGGUGUAGCGGUGAAAUGCGCAGAUAUCGGGAGGAACACCAAUUGCGAAGGCAGCUCGCUGGGACGGUACUGACGCUGAGACGCGAAAGCGUGGGGAGCGAACAGG
rnacentral:rRNA from 1 species